AUCGCUAAAGCUUUAAAAUAUCAGUAAAUGAAUUACAGAAAAACACAUAACGUAUUUACAGUGGCGGUAACCAAUGUAAGUCUACAGUCACCAAGCGGCUCAAUUACAGAACAUAUUAAAACAACGUUUUCCUGCAAUACCUCCCCAUCAAAGCCUACAGCAAAUAUAACCUGGUACAAGGAGUCUGACGGCGGUCAAAAGCAGACGAUAACAAAUGAAAUAUUUUCUACAACAGAGGAUGUUGGCGAUCAAUUAUAUUAAAGUAUAGCCCAAAUAGGAGUGACAAUGGAUAUGAAAUAUUUUUCUGCUCUGCUAUUAAUAUUGGAGGAAGAACACCAAUUACGUCAGCAAAGUUUAAAAUGCUUGUUCAGUAUAAACCAGAUAUACCAAGCUUCGAAGUUUCUGGGAACGAAAUUGAUGGUUCUAUCAGCUUUAUUGAAGAAAUACUAGGUUCUGUGAUGUGUGAAAGUAAUGGGAAUCCUAGCCCAGACAUUUAUAUCUCGACUUUUAAAUGUUAUAAUGUAUAUACUGGAAGCACACUCACAUUAAACCCUGUCCGGAGACAAGAUGACGGUCAGUACACGUGUACAGCAAACAACACAAUGGAACCAUCAAAGGGAUAUCUCCAAAUAGGAAGCAGUAGUUCUAAAGUAAAAAUAAAUGUUCUGUAUGGUCAAAAAAUAAUUCUCUCUGAACUUGAUAACAAAACGAUUCUUGCUGGGUAAAGCUUUAAUUUCUCUUGUCCUGUAACAAAGGGAAAUCCUACAUCUACAAGUUUUAAAUGGACAAGAGAUGGUGAUAACAGAACAUGAAACACACAGACACUAGACAUUUAUAAUGUUACGAAGAAAGAUGGUUUAAAAUACACGUGUACCGUGCUUAAUGUUCUAACACCUAGUGAAGGUCUAUGAAGGACUCGUACUGAUAGUGGAUCAUUUGAUCUUAAUGUGUUAUAUAUGUCAGUUGUAUCAUCAUACGAUCAAAGAAAAUCAGAGUCAAGACCUACUGAUAUCAGCAAUUGUGAACGAAAGUGCGAAUGUACUGUUGACAGUAAUCCAAGUUCUAGUAUUGAAAUAAAUUUUAAAGACAAACCACUAUUGAAAACUGACAAUGCAAGAAGUUUAAACUACACACUUUUUGAGGUGUCUUGUCUUGAUACAGGUGUUUAUACCUGUACCGCAGAAAAUCAAUAUAAUUCAGGAAAGAGUUCCAAAAUGGCAUUGACUUUGUUUGUUCGAUGUUAGUAUUGUUCUAAUUCAUGCAUUCUGUUGUAUUUCAAUAUAUGUCUUUAACCGGUUUUUGUCAGUGAACACUUUUAAAACGAUAUAGUUAAACGUUUCGUUAAAUAGCAGAUCCAAUAUAAAAACAAAUCGAGGUCCAGCGUAUUUACAAAAGAAACUAAUUAGAUAAUUUGAAACUGAAUUAAAAUAUGAACAGUAAAUAUAGCAUAUUACACGGUUCUAUGUGAUUAAAUAGGAUAACACUUUGUCCGUGUCAUUGUCAUUAUAAAUGAUUUUAAAUUGACACAUUAUUCGAACACACAUUUAAAAACAAUCAAUAAACGAGAAUGUUAUUGAAUAGACUCAGAUUAAUAUCUAAAUUGAGCAGCGGAUUGUGAUGACAGUUGUCACUUCAAAUUCGAUGUUAUUUACGUUUUCAUUUAGUUACUGAUCGGUUUUAGUUAAGCAACGUAGCUUGAUUUUUACCUGCACUUUAAAUACACAAUAAUUUAAUUAACGUUAAACAAAUUUGUUCAAAUAUUUUCAGUUUUAUAUGUAUCUUUAAGAAUAUAAACAAUAAUGUCUUUUCUGUGUAUAAAUCGUAUUGAAAGGUUUUAUUUCAAACAACAUACAGUCUUUGAAUGUAGAAGUUUGCUUUGUUUAAGAUUUAUGUUUUCUAUAUGUCAACCGGCUCACCACGACCACAAAUUCACUAUAAAGAAAAUGUUAGUAGUGCUCUUGGACAUGUCAUUACCUUGGUGUUUAAGGGUCUUGCAUACCCUUGUCCAUCGGAGAACACUUAAUAACAGUUCCAAUGUCAUUAUUUCAAUAUAAGGAACGGAUUCAAAUCUAACAAUUAGAAAUGUGUCACUAUCAGAUUACGGUGAAUACCAACUGAAGAUUGAAAAUGAAAUAAAUUAUUUCAUACAACCAUAUUUUCUGUCUCAAGAAGAUAUAGCAGAUGCACCUAAUGAAUUUCAAGGGGUUACAGAGCAUAUUUCGGACACUUUCGCGUUGUUUCGGUGGAAACCAUGAAUCAAUGGGGAACCAAAACAGUCAUUUGUAUUAUUAUAUAAGAGACCAUCAGACAGUUGAAGACACCCGUGAGACCCUGAUGAUUUAUACGUUGCACGAGUUGGUCAGUGAUUCGGUGUAUAGAGUUGUACGUGCUGUUGGCAAGAAACAGUGUCGGCGAUUUAAUAAACUCUACAAACAUGACAUUUAGAACAAAAGGCAUGUUAAAGGUACCAUAAUUGUUUAAAUUAAUGUUAAAAAAACUUUUUUGACAAACAUUUUGAAAGUAGCAUUAUUCAAAGGUUUUAAAACUACAUCAAAUUGUUUUAAUGAGUAUAAAAACGGUCAAUUGUAAACAUUAACUAUUUCAUCUACUUUAAAGCACUUACAAAACAAUUAGUACAUG